rnacentral:rRNA from 1 species
AUAGCGUAUAUUAAAGUUGUUGCAGUUAAAAAGCUCGUAGUUGAAUUUCGGGAUCAGUACGCCGGUCGUGCCUUCGGUAUGCACUGGUGUCACUGGUUUCUCCCUUCUGAAGAACCAUCAUGCCAUUAAGUUGGUGUGGCGGGAAAUCAGGACUGUUACUUUGAAAAAAUUAGAGUGUUUAAAGCAGGCUCGCGCUUGAAUACAUUAGCAUGGAAUAAUGAAAUAGGACGUUUGACCCUAUUUUGUUGGUUUCUAGGAUCGACGUAAUGAUUAAUAGGGAUAGUUGGGGGCAUCAGUAUUCAAUCGUCAGAGGUGAAAUUCUUGGAUCGAUUGAAGACUAACUACUG